rnacentral:rRNA from 1 species
GCAUAUCAAUAAGCGGAGGAAAAGAAACCAACAGGGAUUACCUCAGUAACGGCGAGUGAAGCGGUAAGAGCUCAAAUUUGAAAGCUGGCUCCUUCGGGGUCCGCAUUGUAAUUUGCAGAGGAUGUUUCGGGAGCAGCCCCCAUCUAAGUGUCCUGGAACGGACCGUCAUAGAGGGUGAGAAUCCCGUAUGGGAUGGGGUGUCUGCGCCCAUGUGAAACUCCUUCGACGAGUCGAGUUGUUUGGGAAUGCAGCUCUAAAUGGGUGGUAAAUUUCAUCUAAAGCUAAAUAUUGGCCGGAGACCGAUAGCGCACAAGUAGAGUGAUCGAAAGAUGAAAAGCACUUUGAAAAGAGAGUUAAAAAGCACGUGAAAUUGUUGAAAGGGAAGCGC